rnacentral:rRNA from 1 species
CCUACGGGUGGCAGCAGUGAGGAAUAUUGGUCAAUGGGCGGAAGGCUGAACCAGCCAUGCCGCGUGAAGGUCAGUGCCCUAUGGGCGUUACACUUCUUUUGUGCGGGAGCAAUAAUGGUCACGUGUGGCCAGACGAGAGUACCGUACGAAUAAGCAUCGGCUAACUCCGUGCCAGCAGCCGCGGUAAUACGGGGGAUGCAAGCGUUAUCCGGAUUUAUUGGGUUUAAAGGGUGCGUAGGCUGUGAGGUAAGUCAGCGGUGAAAUGCCCCCGCUCAACGGGGUGAAGUGCCAUUGAUACUGCCUGGCUGGAGUGCGGAUGCCGUGGGAGGAAUGUGUGGUGUAGCGGUGAAAUGCAUAGAUAUCACACAGAACACCGAUUGCGAAGGCAUCUCACGAAUCCGCGAUUGACGCUGAUGCACGAAAGCGUGGGUAUCAAACAGGAUGAGAUACCCUAGUAGUC